rnacentral:rRNA from 1 species
AGCAGCCGCGGUAAUUCCAGCUCCAAUAGCGUAUAUUAAAGUUGUUGCAGUUAAAAAGCUCGUAGUUGAAUUUCGGGAUCAGUUGAUCGGUCGUGCCUCGGUACGUACUGGUCAAAUUGAUUCCUACCUUCUGACGAACCACGAUGUCAUUAAUUUGGUGUCGUGGGAAAUCAGGACUGUUACUUUGAAAAAUUAGAGUGUUUAAAGCAGGCUCGCGCUUGAAUACAUUAGCAUGGAAUAAUGAAAUAGGACGUUUGAUUCUAUUUUGUUGGUUUCUAGGAUCGACGUAAUGAUUAAUAGGGAUAGUUGGGGGCAUUAGUAUUCAAUUGUCAGAGGUGAAAUUCUUGGAUUUAUUGAAGACUAACUACUGCGAAAGCAUUUGGCAAGGAUGUUUUCAUUAAUCAAGAACGAAAGUUAGGGGAUCGAAGACGAUCAGAUACCGUCGUAGUC